rfam:Triticum aestivum genome assembly, contig: Triticum_aestivum_CS42_TGACv1_scaffold_290485_4AL
GACAUGAAGAGGAAGAAAAGGUGACUUAAGAGCAGUGGGCAUGGGAACAUGAUGGAAGGCUAAAGCCCUUGUUCCCCGUCUAACACUAGAGGAGGCUUUGGUUUGAGUUUUUCUGAUGCCUUCCAUGCCUAUUGUUCUUUGGUGCCCCUUCCUCUUCCUUUUGGAU